rnacentral:rRNA from 1 species
GAGGUAGUGACAAUAAAUCACAAUGCGGAACAAUGUUUUGCAAUUGGAUUGAGAACAACGUACAAACCUUAUCGAUAAACAAUUGGAGGGCAAGUCUGGUGCCAGCAGCCGCGGUAAUUCCAGCUCCAAUAGCGUAUAUUAACGUUGUUGCAGUUAAAAAGCUCGUAGUUGAAAUGAAGGGUAGUUGUGUAAUGAAUACAUUCGUGUAUUUUGUUAUUCAAGUACCCUCCUUCUAAAUUCGAUAUAUGAGUAUUAAUUUACUUGUAUAUGGUUUUAGACUUUUACUGUGAGAAAAUUAGAGUGUUCAAAGCAGGCAUUUGCUUGAAUAUAUUAGCAUGGAAUAAUCAUGUAUGAUUUUCAUGAUGUAUUUGAUUGGUUUGGUUGAUGAGAAUAAGAUUAAAAGGGACAGUUGGGGGUAUUCAUAUUCAAUAGUCAGAGGUGAAAUUCUCGGAUUUAUGGAAGAUGAACAAGUGCGAAAGCAUUUACCAAGGAUGUUUU